GACGAACGCUGGCGGCGUGCCUAAUACAUGCAAGUCGAGCGAAGCGGCGGAUGGGUGAGUAACGCGUGGGUAACCUGCCCUUAAGUCUGGGAUACUAGUUGGAAACAGAUGCUAAUACCGGAUAAUAAAGGAUGGAGCUGCGAGGCAUUAGCUCGUUGGGAAGGUAACGGCUUACCAAGGCGAUGAUGCAUGGCCGAGUUGAGAUACUGAUCGGCCACAUGUGGACUGAUACACGGCCCAAACUCCUACGGGAGGCAGCAGUAGGUAAUCUUCCACAAUGGACGAAAGUCUGAUGGAGCCACGCCGCGUGAAUGAAGAAGGUUUUCGGUUCGUAAAGCUCUGUUGUUGGUGAAGCGGUAAUCAACCAGAAAGUCCCGGCUAACUCCGUGCCAGCAGCCGCGGUAAUUC
rnacentral:rRNA from 1 species